ensembl:lncRNA
AGGCCGGGUCAGUGCUGAAGUUUUGUAAGUAUCUUUUCACAGGAGAACACAAGAUCCACAUGACCGUCUAUUUUCUCCCAACAAAGCAACAUUGAAAUCCGUCAUCUGCAACUCAUGAUCACCCUGGAAUAGGGUCUAACCGAAGCACUAUAAACAUGUCCAUGGUAUGCUGUCUAUAGUAGUGGAUUUGAGAAUGGAGUUAAGGGGGUAUGAAAGAGUGUGAUGCAAGCUGAGGAGAACAGAAAGCCGGUCUCGGCUAUUGUUGGAGAAUCCCACAGAGAUAAUCGAUUGGCCAGCCACAGUGCAGGUAUGAUGUUGAGAUCCAGCUUUGACACAUGGGACAGUUGAAGGCCUCACGCAGAAUUCAUAAAACAUUGCAAACAUCUGAUGCUUGAGGAGGCAAGGCACAAUAUUAAAGGGUGACGCUGUCAACAGUGACGUGGUGGGGUUCCUGCAGCAUGCAGCCGUGGAUGUGAUUCACGAGUAAAUAAAUAAAAGAUAAGGACCUGAGCUUCAGAGCCAUUAAAGCUGUGACAUUAUAUAAGCAUAGAGUCUUUCUUUUUCUUUAUUUAAUGGAUCAGCAUGUGCUCGACCCCUAACCAAAAUGCAUUUUGUGUUUUGCAAGUCAUGUGAGCUGUUGCAAUCUGAAUUAUUUUUUCUUUUGUAAAAGGGAAGAUCAUAUACAGAAUACUGUAAUUAAUAAUAUUACUUACAGAAAUGCUUGCUGUAGUAACCUCUCAUACAAUGUUUAAAACAAAAGAUAUGUUUAAAUCAACAUUUUGAGUCAAAAUUAAAGGAAAAACCAUAAGUUCACUUAGGACUGAUCAUUAGCUAAGGAUCUGGAAAUCAUGAAAAGGUAAAUGGCAGCUUAUGUGUCCCAGAUGAGAAGGAGGGCAAACGGUAAUCAUAAUUAGGCUUCCAGAAAUCAGUGAUGACACAGAUGUCUUCCCCAUUAUGAAUAUUCUGGUCAUUAGUGAAGAGCAGAAGGCAGCUGUUAGAGGUUUAUGGCACCAAGCCUCACUCACAGAGAAAGCAGUCUGUCUGGAGCCCGGAAGCAAUGUGAAGAUUAUUAGUCAUCAACGUGUGUAUCACAGCUCAAGUAUGUGAGAUAAAGCUCUUAAGAUGUUAG